UAUACAGCGAAACUGCGAAUGGCUCAUUAUAUAAGUUAUCGUUUAUUUGAUAGUGCCUUACUACUUGGAUAACCGUGGUAAUUCUAGAGCUAAUACAUGCUAAAAACCCCGACUUCGGAAGGGGUGUAUUUAUUAGAUACAAAACCAAUGCCCUUCGGGGCUCUUUGGUGAUUCAUGAUAACUAUACGAAUCGCACGGCCUUGCGCCGGCGAUGGUUCAUUCAAAUUUCUUCCCUAUCAACUUUCGAUGUUUGGGUAUUGGCCAAACAUGGUUGCAACGGGUAACGGAGGGUUAGGGCUCGACCCCGGAGAAGGAGCCUGAGAAACGGCUACUACAUCCAAGGAAGGCAGCAGGCGCGCAAAUUACCCAAUCCCGACUCGGGGAGGUAGUGACAAUAAAUACUGAUACAGGGCCCUUUCGGGCCUUGUAAUUGGAAUGAGCACACUCUAAAUCCCUUAACGAGGAACAAUUGGAGGGCAAGUCUGGUGCCAGCAGCCGCGGGAAUUCCAGCUCCAAUAGCGUAUAU
rnacentral:rRNA from 1 species